GCAAAGCCCAAGAAGAAGAAUGAGACGCAAGAUUCAUCCCUGAAACAUCAAGCAUCAGCUUCAGCAUCAAUUAAUAUGGAUCGUGUUGGAGCCGUGGAGACUGAAAAGACAGAUGAGCAAGAUUCGUCCCUGAAACCAGUUGAAUCCAUAAAAACCUUCAAGGUUCUAAGUGCUGCUGUCCAGACUGGGAGGAUUAAAAUAAUGGAAAUUAAAAAGUCCAAUAAGACGAUCACUCACCUUGAGAUAGAGUUCAACGGCCGGAGGCAGACGGUGUUUGUGACAACUCAACUUCUGGCAAACGCAUUUGGCCUCAAAGUGGAGGAUGAUUUUGAAAGGAGACUCCGCUAUCAAAUGCCGCUCACAGCAGAAGCAACAUUACUAGGAAAAAAAAUCAUAUACAUUAGGGUUAACCCUAACCUGGGUAGGAAAUCAAUUAUUUGAUUCUUUAACAUUAAAUCACAGUGAAUGAAAUAAGGAUUUUUGAAUUAAAACCUUUGACAAAGAUAAAAACCAAUAUGACAAACAAAUACAUAAUUGAUUGCUUUCAGAGACGACAAGCCUUCGCUAUCAAGUGCCGCUCACAGCAGAAGCAACAUUACAAGGAAGAAAAGUUACAGACAUUAAAAAGGUGAAAAAGGCUUAUUUGUAGUAGGGGAAUGCUGUUUACUUUUAAGUACUGUCG
rnacentral:lncRNA from 1 species